rnacentral:rRNA from 1 species
UACGUAGGUGGCAAGCGUUGUCCGGAUUUACUGGGCGUAAAGAGCGCGCAGGCGGUCGGAUAAGUCGAAUGUGAAAGCCCCCGGCUCAACUGGGGAGGGUCAUUCGAUACUGUUCGACUCGAAGGCAGGAGAGGGAAGUGGAAUUCCCGGUGUAGUGGUGAAAUGCGUAGAUAUCGGGAGGAACACCAGUGGCGAAGGCGACUUCCUGGCCUGUUCUUGACGCCGAGGCGCGAAAGCUAGGGGAGCAAACGGG